AUGUAUCAACGGUUAUUAUGGUGCCUUUUGUAACAACACGUGUGAGAUCUGUCUUGACGGCAUAUGUGAUUGGGAAUUAGGAACCUGCAUUCGAGGAUGUAAUUUUACUGACCUUCGAUGCAAAUCUACCUGUACACAUGAUUGUCCCUUAGAUGUUUGCCUUACUGAUGUGUCUUGUGAAGCAGGCAAGCAGCGGCAGAUGGAUAUCAAGUAUAUCGUAAUAGGACUGUCAGCAUUGCUUGUUCUUACUGGCAUCCUCUGUGUAUUUUGUUUUGGAAAACGCUGGUCGAAAAGAAGGAACGCUGAAGCAAACAAAUACAUAGUCGAGUACCAGCCUCCAUCAAACAGAUAUUGGGAAAUAAGAGAAUCAGAUGUGGACCAAGAAUGUGACUACUCUGAAAAUGAGUCAUCUGGUGUUGUGGCAAAACAGCUUCAGGAGUCACACAGUGACAGAGGGGCACACAGUGACAUUUCCUCCGAUGAUACUUCUGGAGACAACUCGUCGUACACUCACCUAGUGAGGGACAUCGGUGUCGAUGAUCAAACAACUUAUAUCAAAUAUAUAACACCACCUGCGGAACAGGAUGUGGAGUAAACUGUAAUUUCGAAGGCAACCCCUAUCCCUCCGACUUGUGGAGGUUGAAGGGGACCUCCUCUUAUAUCUGUUUUAGAUAACUCUCCUAGACACUGUAAGUAGGGAAAGUCUGGUUGAUCAUUGGAUGUGCAUCAAGUGAGGACAUUACGUAAUAUUUUGUAAUAUUUUGUUUUCAAAAUAUUAAUAUGGGAACAAACACCAUUAUAAAGCAUUCUAAAAGAAGCACUUUCACAAAUGUAAGCAUGAGAAUGAGUAGGGUGCUGGUGCCAAAUGUGACUGCACAAAUUCGAACUCUCAAAUUUGCCCCUGCAAUUGUUUUUCUCAAACACGAACUGAAGACUGCUUGUCGUGACACGGGACAUAUUUUUGAAGGUCAAGUUCACUGGUUUUUAUGCAUAUUUGGUUGAAAAAGUAAAACGAUUGUUUCAUAGGUUGGAUUUUGGAAAUGUAUGCAAUAACGUACUUGACUUUGCUGUGGGACAGUUGCCGAUCCUGUGAUGGUUUAGUUUGCUAUAUUUGUGUGUGCUGCAUGUGAAGCCUAUGUAUAUAUGGAUAUUAUGUAUAUAUAAUGAUAUAUCUGUCCAUCAAAUUGUGCUGAUUGUUUUGAUGUGGUUUUCGUCUAUAAUGAAAAUGAGAGACGGCUUCAUCUAUUUCCUAUUUAGAUGUAUUCAUAUAGAUUCAGAGUGAAAAGAGGGAUGAUUUCAACUCUCCAAUAGUCAACUUUCUCUCUUUGUCGAACAACCCGUGAAGAUUCCGGGGUAGAAUAGGUCUUC